UCUCGUUUUUACAUUGUUUGUAGGAAGUGGAGGCGUGACAAAUCACCACAUCAUGAGGGGUUGUUGAGAGGAAAGGGUUUGUUAACUUCUCAGCAUCAUCCAUUUUUAAUGCCACCGAAGCUUUCCAACAGUACAAAACUAAAAAUGCAGGUGUAUAUGGAGUUCACAGCUGAUGAGUCAUUAAUUUUUGCAAUUUCUGAAGAUGUAUGGAAUAAACCACUUGGACGUGGAAAUGAGGUCAGAUUGCAUCUUAGAGAGUAAGCUAGGAAGUAUUUGGAGGAAUAUAAAUUAAAAAUCUGAAAUUCGGCCAGGUAAGACGGAAGGCUGAUAUCGAGAAUUUCGAGGAUCGAAGGAGAGAUCUGGAGACUGCUACCUCUGAUCGGAUUCUUAGACAUUUUUAUUUCGUUCCUGUUAUUUAUUUGUCUUUGUUAUUUAUUUAUUCUUAUGUAGUUGUUAUUCUUAGUACCAUUCCAAUGUGGUUUUAAUGAAUUCCAUUUUUUUAA